rnacentral:rRNA from 1 species
UACGUAGGUGGCAAGCGUUGUCCGGAUUUACUGGGCGUAAAGAGCGCGCAGGCGGUCGUACAAGUCGCGUGUGAAAGCCCCCGGCUCAACUGGGGAGGGUCACGCGAUACUGUUCGACUCGAAGGCAGGAGAGGGAAGUGGAAUUCCCGGUGUAGUGGUGAAAUGCGUAGAUAUCGGGAGGAACACCAGUGGCGAAGGCGACUUCCUGGCCUGUUCUUGACGCUGAGACGCGAAAGCGUGGGGAGCGAACAGG